CAUGGGAGAGGUUACAAAGCGUGUGAAGCAGAAAAGCCGCAACCAUCCAUGCAAUUCUGGCAUCGCAACUUCUCAAGGCUCUCUCCCUGGCAGCAACAUCACCUUCUACACAGACCACGAUUCCGUGCACGUGCCUUCAACUCCUAGUGGUCAAUCACUGAACCGUUCUUCUAGUUACCCAGUCUCUCCUGUAACUCACAGAGGACCUGCCAGUGAAGACCUUGAAGAUGUUCUAAUGCCAGAGGAGGAAGAUUCUACUGAGCUGUGUCAUCCAAGUCGUGGAGCAAUUUUGUAUAGUAAGACAGUACUCUGAUUGGAUGAUCAGUGUGUGGGCUAAUACGCUUCAUUCAACACU